GCUUCAUAAGUUGAUGGGGUUCAAAAAUCUUGGUAUACUAACUAGGUCGUGGUAGUGGAGAAGAAAUUUGAACUUAUGUUGAAAAGCUUAUGACCAGUGAACUCUCUGGAAAUGUUAUAGAUAUCUGUCCUGUUGGAGCCUUGACCUCAAAGCCUUUUUGCCUUUAAAGCCAGAAACUGGGAGUUGAAAGCAAGAGAAUCCGUGUUGAUAGUCGAGGACCAGAAGUGAUGCGUAUCAUUCCACGCCUUAAUCAUGAGGAUAUAAACGAAGAAUGGAUAUCUGACAAAACCUGAUUCUGUUAUGACGGCCUGAAAAGACAGAUGAGAUUGUUGGCGUAGCAGGUCAGCUAUCUGAUGCGGAAUCCAUGAUGGUACUGAAAGACUUCGUUAACAGAAUGGGUUCAGACAAAUAGACAAUGUCUGGUGUGAAGGAACAACGGCUGGUGUUGAGACUCAUGAGGAUUUCACAACUUCCAGAACGAGCGCAUACUGAUGCAAAAGACUUGGAGCAUUGAUGUGGGAAUUUAAGAAACUAUAAUUUCUGGUCCAAAGACUAAUGAUGAAGAAAAGCAAAUGGUUAUCGGUUGACUUUAAAAGCUUUGGCCCCUCUUCUAAGCUCAUUGGUUCUUAUUUCUCUCAAUCUCAGCUACGUGGAUGGAUGAGAUUUUGACAAGUGGAAUCAUCAUCUAUGAAGGUUAUUGAGCACUGUUUGGACCAUAAGAGAUGAACGAUAUGAACUGAGCAAGACAAUUAAAGAGGUGUCCCCAUUGUCCUUUACAUCUUUUGCAGUCAAUAUGAUUUUUCCAAAUUUCUUUUUUGUUUUUAUUGGUACAAUUCGUUGGGCCUUGUGAUCUUGUCUUAUGGUUUAUCUUUCUUUGAGUCGAUGAAGAUACUUUCUUCUCUUCCUACAAGCUUGGAGCCCACCUCAAUAAAUCCUUUCUUUGCUACCAUGGCACACACUAGGAUACUCUUUUCUUUGUUUGGUCUGGUAAAAUAUCUUUAAUGUCACCGUCACCGCCAUUUAAUUGUC